CACAGACUUAGCUGCCCCAAGGCAUGUGGAAUCUUCCUGGACCAGGGAUCGAACCCAUGCCUCCUGCACCGGCAGGCAGAUUCCCAACCACGGGACCACCAGGGAAGUUCAGAUUUUCAAUUCUGACUUGGAUGAGGCACCAGCAGGGAGAUGGCACAGGCAUGACCGCCAUCAAAUCUCCUGGAAAGCCAAAAGCCUUGCAUUUCUAUCACCGGUGGAUGACCCACGUCUAUGCCAGGACCAGCACAAAAGUCACAGCAGCAAAUCAUAGUGCGAACACUGACUUGAAACUGAGAGAUGAACUGUCUUCCCCAAGCUGACAAGAGCUCUGGAUUCGAACCCAGGACUCCUGCCUGCAGAUCCAGUGAUGGGACCGGAUGCCAUGAUCUUAGUUUUUUGAAUGUCGAGUUUCAAGCCAACUUUUUCAACUCCCAGACUGAACAUCAAAGCGGGUAUUUGCAGGAUGAUGCCCAGAAGAAACCUCACAACUGUCAUUUGCAAGCCCUGAGUUGCUGCUUGCCAUGGACCAGAGCAGGAAUGGCUCCUGUUUCUCUCCUGUCUCACCAAUCUUGCAGGAAUGCCUCUUAAUUGUACACUGCAUUCUAUAGCCCUGCUGACAGUGGAGUUUUAGAUGUGUAGUUCCCAGAGGUGCAGAGUUGCUAGCAGACACCCCAGUUCAGUUCAGUUCAGUUCAGUUGCUCAGUCGUGUCUGACUCUUUGCAACCCCAUGAAUCGCAGCAUGCCAGGCCUCCCUGUCCAUCACCAACUCCUGGAGUUUACUCAAACUCAUGUCCAUCGAGUCGGUGAUGCCAUCCAGCCAUCUCAUCCUCUGUCGUCCCCUUCUCCUCCUGCCCCCAAUCUCUCCCAGCAUCAGGGUCUUUUCCAAUGAGUCAACUCUUCGUAUGAGGUGGCCAAAGGAUUGGAGUUUCAGCUUCAGCAUCAGUCCUUCCAGUGAACACCCAGGACUGAUCUCCUUUAGGAUGGACUGGUUGGAUCUCCUUGCAGUCCAAGGGACUCUCAAGAGUCUUCUCCAACACCACAGUUCAAAAGCAUCAAUUUUUCGGCGCUCAGCUUUCUUUACAGUCUAACUCUCAGCACACCUCAAAAGGGUGAAACAUGGAGGUGGUGAUGAGAAUGAUUCAGAGCAAGAAGUUGGAAGUGAUCCUGAGCCAUGGUGGGGAUCGGACCCCACUCCAGAUGUCCAAGACAGCCUCCUUACUCCAUGAGGUUUUCCCUCCCCAGGUGUCCCUUAAAUUGGGGUCUUCCCUACAAAAGCAACAAACACUGGACAACAAAGUACAGCCCUGGGGAUGAAGGAGACGUUUAAAAGUAAAGAAUGGAGCCAUAUUCAUUGGUCAAAAGAAAUGAGCUACCAGAGCACAUGGAGGAAACUUAAAUGUAUUGAUGAGUGAAAGAAGCCAGUCUAAAAAGGCUGCAGACUCUGAUUCCAACUAUAUGACAUUAUGGAAAAGGCAAAACUAUAAAGGCAGUCCAAAGAAACUUGUUGCCAGGAGUUCUGGUGGAGUUGGGAGGAAUGAGUAGGUGGAGCACAGGAGGGUUUUCAGGGCAGUGAAACUAUUCUGCAUGAAGCUUUCAUGGUGGAUCUGUGACAUCUUGCAUGAAAUGUGUAACCCCAAGAGUGAACCCUAAUGUAAACUGUGGACUUUAGUUAGUAAUCAAUAUUGGUUCAUCAA